AUUGAACGCUGGCGGCAGGCCUAACACAUGCAAGUCGAGCGGAGCGGCGGACGGGGGAGGAAUGCCUAGGAAUCUGCCUGGGCGUGGGGGAUAACGUUCGGAAACGGGCGCUAAUACCGCAUACUAUCAGAUGAGCCUGGGUCGGACUAGCUAGUUGGUGGGGUAAAGGCCUACCAAGGCGACGAUCCGUAACUGGUCUGAGAGGAUGAGCAUGCACACUGGAACUGAGACACGGUCCAGACUCCUACGGGAGGCAGCAGUGGUGAAUAUUGGACAAUGGGCGAAAGCCUGAUCCAGCCAUGCCGCGUGUGUGAAGAAGGUCUUCGGGUUGUAAAGCACUUUAAGUUGGGAGGCGUUACCAACAGAAUAAGCACCGGCUAACUUCGUGCCAGCAGCCGCGGUAAUUC
rnacentral:rRNA from 1 species